AGCUCCAAUAGCGUAUACUAACGUUGUUGCAGUUAAAAAGCUCGUAGUUGGAUUUCUGUAGGGGUAAGGCGGCCGGCCACUCGUGGUUGUAGCUUGUUAUUACCCUUGCAUCUUGUCACAAUCCGCGAUGGCAUUAACUUGUUGUCGCUGGGGACUGACUCGUUUACUUUGAGAAAAUUAGAGUGUUCAAAGCAGGCUAUCGCCUUGAAUAUAUUAGCAUGGAAUAAUGAUAUAGGACUUUGGUUCUAUUUUGUUGGUUGUUCGAGAACCGAAGUAAUGAUUGAUAGGGACAGUUGGGGGCGUCAGUAUUCUGAAGCGAGAGGUGAAAUUCUUGGACCUUCGGAAGACUAACAACUGCGAAAGCAUUUGCCAAGAAUGUUUUCA
rnacentral:rRNA from 1 species